rnacentral:rRNA from 1 species
UGCAGUCGAACGGUGAAGCCCAGCUUGCUGGGUGGAUCAGUGGCGAACGGGUGAGUAACACGUGAGCAACCUGCCCUCCACUUCGGGAUAAGCCUUGGAAACGGGGUCUAAUACCGGAUAUGAGCUCGCAUCGCAUGGUGUGGGUUGGAAAGUUUUUCGGUGGGGGAUGGGCUCGCGGCCUAUCAGCUUGUUGGUGGGGUGAUGGCCUACCAAGGCGUCGACGGGUAGCCGGCCUGAGAGGGCGACCGGCCACACUGGGACUGAGACACGGCCCAGACUCCUACGGGAGGCAGCAGUGGGGAAUAUUGCACAAUGGGCGCAAGCCUGAUGCAGCGACGCCGCGUGAGGGAUGACGGCCUUCGGGUUGUAAACCUCUUUCAGCAGGGAAGAAGCGCAAGUGACGGUACCUGCAGAAGAAGCGCCGGCUAACUACGUGCCAGCAGCCGCGGUAAUACGUAGGGCGCAAGCGUUGUCCGGAAUUAUUGGGCGUAAAGAGCUCGUAGGCGGUCUGUCGCGUCUGGUGUGAAAUCCCGAGGCUCAACCUCGGGCUUGCAUCGGGUACGGGCAGACUAGAGUGCGGUAGGGGAGACUGGAAUUCCUGGUGUAGCGGUGGAAUGCGCAGAUAUCAGGAGGAACACCGAUGGCGAAGGCAGGUCUCUGGGCCGCAACUGACGCUGAGGAGCGAAAGCAUGGGGAGCGAACAGGAUUAGAUACCCUGGUAGUCCAUGCCGUAAACGUUGGGCACUAGGUGUGGGGCUCAUUCCACGAGUUCCGUGCCGCAGCUAACGCAUUAAGUGCCCCGCCUGGGGAGUACGGCCGCAAGGCUAAAACUCAAAGGAAUUGACGGGGGCCCGCACAAGCGGCGGAGCAUGCGGAUUAAUUCGAUGCAACGCGAAGAACCUUACCAAGGCUUGACAUGUACGAGAAAGCCCCCGAGACGGGGUUCUCUUUGGACACUCGUACACAGGUGGUGCAUGGUUGUCGUCAGCUCGUGUCGUGAGAUGUUGGGUUAAGUCCCGCAACGAGCGCAACCCUCGUCCUAUGUUGCCAGCGGGUUAUGCCGGGGACUCAUGGGAGACUGCCGGGGUCAACUCGGAGGAAGGUGGGGAUGACGUCAAAUCAUCAUGCCCCUUAUGUCUUGGGCUUCACGCAUGCUACAAUGGCCGGUACAGAGGGCUGCGAUACCGUAAGGUGGAGCGAAUCCCAAAAAGCCGGUCUCAGUUCGG